rnacentral:misc_RNA from 1 species
AAAGUGCGAUACGUGGUGCGACCUGCACGAACCUGUGAGUCAUCGAAUCUUUGAACGCAACUUGCGCCCCAGGGCAUGUGUGCUUGAGCCGGCGCAAAGAUUGGCAAUGCGUGCAUUGCUGUGCUGGGGGACGACGCGUCGCCCCCGAAACGCGUGUCUGCGGCGCGGCCAGGACGGUGUGGCCGGGACUCCGGCGCGCAUUUGGCCGCGCGCCACCGAUUGCCGCUCAGCCACACAAGAUCACCCGCUGGACUUAA